rnacentral:rRNA from 1 species
AACGAACGCUGGCGGCAGGCCUAACACAUGCAAGUCGAACGCUGUAGCAAUACAGAGUGGCAGACGGGUGAGUAACGCGUGGGAACAUGCCCUUCGGUUCGGAAUAACUCAGGGAAACUUGAGCUAAUACCGGAUACGCCCUUAGGGGGAAAGAUUUAUUGCCGAAGGAUUGGCCCGCGUCCGAUUAGCUAGUUGGUGAGGUAAUGGCUCACCAAGGCGACGAUCGGUAGCUGGUCUGAGAGGAGGAUCAGCGACACUGGGACUGAGACACGGCCCAGACUCGUACGGGAGGCAGCAGUGGGGAAUAUUGGACAAUGGGCGCAAGCUUGAUCCAGCCAUGCCGCGUGAGUGAUGAAGGCCCUAGGGUUGUAAAGCUCUUUCGCCAGGGACGAUAAUGACGGUACCUGGAUAAGAAGCCCCGGCUAACUUCGUGCCAGCCGCCGCAGUAA